rnacentral:rRNA from 1 species
UCGGUUCUCGUAGGUGACCUGCGGAGGGAUCAUUACAAGUGACCCCGGUCUAACCACCGGGAUGUUCAUAACCCUUUGUUGUCCGACUCUGUUGCCUCCGGGGCGACCCUGCCUUCGGGCGGGGGCUCCGGGUGGACACUUCAAACUCUUGCGUAACUUUGCAGUCUGAGUAAACUUAAUUAAUAAAUUAAAACUUUUAACAACGGAUCUCUUGGUUCUGGCAUCGAUGAAGAACGCAGCGAAAUGCGAUAAGUAAUGUGAAUUGCAGAAUUCAGUGAAUCAUCGAAUCUUUGAACGCACAUUGCGCCCCCUGGUAUUCCGGGGGGCAUGCCUGUUCGAGCGUCAUUUCACCACUCAAGCCUCGCUUGGUAUUGGGCAACGCGGUCCGCCGCGUGCCUCAAAUCGACCGGCUGGGUCUUCUGUCCCCUAAGCGUUGUGGAAACUAUUCGCUAAAGGGUGUUCGGGAGGCUACGCCGUAAAACAACCCCAUUUCUAAGGUUGACCUCGGAUCAGGUAGGGAUACCCGCUGAACUUAAGCAUAUCAAAAGCCGGAGGAA